rnacentral:lncRNA from 1 species
GGGCGGGACAGCUGGACGGGGUGGGCGGGGCAGCCGGACGGGGUGGGCGGGGCAGCGGAAUGGGGCGGGGCGAGUUGCGCGGCUGCUGCUUGGGACCCGCCCGCUCCACGAAGGCAAUUGGGAAAUCUGAGAAAUGUAUUGAGCGUCUGCUACGUGCCUCUGACUGUGUGUCUCCAAGUUUGCAUGUAGUUGGAAUGACCAGCAGGACAGUACCAGCCAAGAGCUUUAAGCUUUACAGCCUGAGACCACCAGAGACAAUCCUUAGACAAGGCUGGUUGACUACAGCAGAUGCUGUGCUGUGUUGCUCAGAUCCAUAUUCAGGACGGAAGAACUUAUUUCCCUCAACUGCUGCAAGUGCUGUAGACUGCAUCCAGCUAUUUGUUGUGGGAGAAUAAAAUACUGGCCCCCUCACCCCAACUUGGGACAACUCUUGGCCAUCACAGCUCUAGAGCUCCCCAUGGGAUCAGCUGAAGCCUCACUGAGACUGCCUUGAAGCCCAGCUCCUCCCUCUGCCCAGUCUGGCUCCCUUCCCUUCCCCUUCAGGCCCACAGGAAGCUUAGGCAACCAAUUUUGGACCUGUUUGAAACCAACUUCCCUAUAUCAGAAACAGGAAAAGAAAGAAGUUACACUCUGCCUCAUGAGCCAACUGGAGAACUGAGCUCAGCAUCUUGCCUUAUUGGUGCACAUUCUAUUCACAUAAUGAAGUUCUUUCAUUUUCUGCUUGGAGAGACCUGCUGACCUCACACCUGAAUGAGGCGAUGUCGUCCUCCCUUCCAGUCUCUCAGAACCCAGCCACCAUCUUGUGAGGAAGCUUCCCACGUGGAGAGGGCCUAAGGACUUCUGACAGCAGCCAAAACCAACUUACCAGCUCUGUGAGCGAACCACCUUGGAAGUCUGUCCUCCAGACCAAGUGAAGCCUUCAGAUGACUGUAGUCACACCUAACAUCUGACUAUGACCUCACGAGGGACCCCUAACCAGAACCACUCGGCUAAACUACUGCCGGAUUCACAACCCACAGAAACCAUGAAAGACAUAAAUGGUCAUUGCCAUCUUAACCCGCUAAGUUUUGCAGUGAUUUUUUUUAUGCAGCUUUAGAGAACAAAGGAGAGGAGUGCAACAGAAAGGGGCCAUCCCAGAACCCUCAAAGGUGUGGGGCCUAGGACAGGGCCUCUUUUGCCUGGAUUUAGGGCCGUACUGAGGAAAGGAUAUGGAUUUUAUUUCAGUAGCUGGGUAUUUCCUAGGGAGGGAUGAGCUUAUUUAUACAAAAGAGGAACUUGCAGGACUGAGCAGGUGUUGGAGAUCAGGAAAUGUUUUUAUAAAAGCUGUAACAAAGCAGCCCUUUAUCUGGAGUAUACAAAGAAAUGAAAAUCUAAUGAGACCAUUUAUUUGCUUGAUUGUAUAAACACACAAAAAUGUACACAUCUUGGAAUAGUCACAGCGGAAGGAGAUCUGCUUAAGCCAGUGAUGCCGUCUGUCACUUUUCAAAAAUGCCUGUGAAACUUCUCUUUCGGAAUUGCCCACAAAGCUGGAUUACGAGCUUCCCAUGAAACCAGACUCAUCACUCAAGCUGCGACUUGGUUUGUGACCCCAGACAGCAUUUCCCAGCUUGAUCACCCAACCUACUCAGCAGACUUCGUUCUGAAUGACUUAGAACUGUUUCCAAAACUCACACCCGCCCUUGGAGGAUACAUGCUGUCAGACUUAUCUUUCUGCCACACCUCGGAUCAUGCGCUUCAGUGCCUCUCGGUUGCAUAGAGAAUUAAGCUCCAACAUGUCAGCUAGAUUUUCAGAACUUUAUACAACAUGCAGCCCCCACCUAGCUUUGCAGUUCUAUCAUCCCAGAACACACGAUGCCCUCUCUACUUACUGAUGAUAGGUACCAUUUACUGAGCCCUUAUUAUGUGCCCCACACUGUGCUAAGAGCUUAAUAUAAUCUCUCAUUUUGUCCUUAUAUGACUUUGUAAGAUAAAUGUUAUCUCUAUAGUAUAAAUAAUAAUAAAACAGGGGUCACUAACACUUUGUACAGCAGUUACAAUGUGCUAAGCCACCGUCCAAUAGAAAUAUGAGCCAUAUUUGUCAUUUUAAUUUUCUAAUUGCCACACUAAAAAAGUAAAAACUAGGUGAAAUUGAUUUUAAUAAAGUAUUUUAUCAAUGAGCAUUUAAUCAAUAUAAAAACUUUUUAAUGAUAUAUAUCAUAUUCUUUUUUAGUGUGUAUUAAAUCUUUGAAAUCCAUUGUGUAUUUUACACCUACAGCACGUCUCAAUUUGGACACUAAAUUUUUAUUGGAAAUACUUGAUCUAUAUUUAAAUAUUGUAAAAAGUACAGUGAAAAAAGUAGAUUCACAUACCCAAGUUGUUCCAAACAUGCUUAAAAGAUUUCCAAUACCUGAAUCAAGUACCAAAUAAUCAUUUUUUUCUAUGCUCAUCCCUAUUGACAAAACUGAUUUAAUUUUAAACUUUUAACUUCACUUUCAAUCAAUUAAAAUUAAAUAAAAUUAAAAAUUUAGUUUCUCAGUUGCACUAGCCACUUACCAAGUGCUCAUGUGGUUAGUGGCUGCCAUGUUGGGCAAUGCAACUCUAGGCACUUUACUACUGUCAACACAAACGUUUGAGGUAGCUUCAUUUUACAGAUAAAGAAAUAGAGGCAUAGAGAAGUAGUAACUUGCACUAGUAUACACAGUUAAUAAGCUGAUGUUCAGAAUGGUUGAUUUACCUUAGCUAGUAAAGGUUGGAAACAGGAUUUGAACUCAGGAUUGUUUGUGUCCAAAGUCUAAAUUCUUAUCCACUGUGCUAGUCUGCUCUACAGACUUAAUUUCUCACUAUUCUCCUAAAAUCCUUACUUUCUUGAUUCUGGUCUUUUUAUCAGACUGUUUCCUCUGUCUAGAAUGCCAUGGAAGGCCCAUUUUGAAUGUUAUUCAUUCAUUCAGACAGUCAUUCAGUCAAUCACUUUUUCAACAAAUAUUGCCAGCCAUGUUUCAAAUAUCUCCCACGUGAAAUACAGCCGUGAUCAAGACAGACGUCCCCCCUGCCCGCACAGAGCUUCAAUUCUGCCGUAACGCUUCUCACACUUCGGUCUCAGGAUUCUGUAACACUCUGAACGUUAUUGAGGACCCGAAGGGCUUUUGAUUAUGUGAGUUAUAGCUGCCAAUCUUUAUUGUACUAGAAAUUAAAACUAGGAAAUUGUAAAAAUAUUUAUUCAUUCAUUCAAAAAUAACAUGAUGAACAUAUUACAUGUAAACAUAAAUAAUGUAUAACUGAAAAGACAACUAUAUUUUCCAAAACAAAAAAUAAGAGUAGCAUUGUUUUAUAAUUUUGCUAAUCUCUUUAAUGUGUGACCUAAUAAAAGGCAGCUGGGUUCUCAUCUCUGCUUUUGUCUUUAAUCUGUUGCAAUUUGUCAUUUUGGUUGAAGUAUGUAAGAAAAUCUUGCCUCACUAAGAUAUAUAAUUGGAAAACAGAGGAGUAUCUUAAAUGCUUUUUCAGAUAAUUGCGGAAAUUCUUCUUUGUUACUAUACCAAAAAUCAACAAGUGCUAAUUUCUUUAAAGUUAGCUACAAUGUGGAAUCUGAAACCAUAUCAAUGGUAAAUAUAUGUUUCAUUGAUCCUUUCUAUUGUCUUUUUUGUUUCAAUAUCGUUUAUUUCUGCUCUUAUUUUUAUUAUUUCCCUCCUUCUACUGACUCUGGGCCUUGUUUGUUCUUCUUUUUCUAGUUCUGUUAGGUGUCGUUUGAGGUUGCUUACGUGAGCUUUUUCUUGUUUAGUGAGGUGAGCCUGUAUUGCGAUGAAUUUCCCUCUUAGGACUGCUUUUGCUGCAUCCCAGAUGAUUUGGUAUGUCGUGUUCUCAUUUUCAUUUGUCUCCAGAUAAUAUUUGAUUUCUUCUUUAAUUUCUUCAAUGAUCCAUUGUUUGUUGAGAAGCGUGUUGUUU